GCUUCAUCUUCUUUCCAACCGUUUGAUCCUAGCCACGUGGUAGCUCCGAUCAGUUCCUCCAUCAUCUCCGGUCAAGACGUGCUCCAGCCCUUCUCUAUCUUUCACUUUCUUCUCGCACAAGAGCCCUAGCCCUAGCACGUGGGUUUUCUUUCUUCUCAAAUGCUCUCGCUAGAACUUUUUCCAAAAGAGUAUCUCGAAUGUGCUUCUCAAAUGAAUCGCAAAAUUGAGACCCCCAAGCAGCUGACAGCCUCCAAACGGUACCGUUCCACUAAAAGUCA
rnacentral:lncRNA from 1 species